rnacentral:lncRNA from 10 species
UACAGGCGUGAGCCACCGUGCCCAGGAGAUAUUUUUUUGAAAGGUACAAAUUCUUAAGAAUCUCAAUAAACCAUAACUUAGGAUAAAUGAGAAGAAGAGUGCACCUUGUCACAUCAUAGUCAAAGUGUUGAAAUCUAAAGGUAAAGAGAAAAUAUUGAAAAAGCCAGAGAAAAAGACACAUUACAUUAAAUAGAAUAUCAAUUCCAAAGAUCUCUGACUUCUCAUCAGAAAUCAUGGAGGCCAGAAGAGUGUGAAACAGCACUCUAAUUAAAAUGGACAGUCUAUCAGAAUUUAUUUUUAAAAAGUAAGAUUCAAUUAUAUACUAUUCAGAAGUUAUAAUUUAAGUAUAAAGAGAGGUUAAAAGCAAAUGGAUUGAAAAAGAUAUAUCAUGUAAACUGCAGAGCACAAGAAGUUUAAAGUGGCUAUAUUAAUACCCCAAAAGACAUAUAAUCAUGAAGGCGUGUGCUGAAUAAUAGACGUUCAAAAUAUACAAGAAGAUGUGAGGGCAAGCUGGCUGCAACAUCCGUCACCCCAUUGAUCUUCAGGGUUGAUUUGGCUGAUCUGGCUGGCUAGGUGGGUGUCCUCUUCCUCCCUCACCACUCCACAUGCAUCCCUCCCGGAGCUGUGUGCUUGGUAGUAGAGGAUGACCAUCCCCAAUAGAGAAGGACCAGUCUUGGGUCAAGGGUAUACCAGUAGCUGUGCUGAUAGGACCUCCAAACAAGCUCUCAAAAUAUACAAAGAAGCAAUUGAGAAAAUUAAAGGAAGAAAUAGAAAUUCCACAAUCAGAGGCUGUCAUCUAAAUGGCCUGUGAGGCCAGGACAGCAAUAAUGAUAAAAGCUCCCGAGGUGGGGCUGGUGGGCAGCCAAGGUGAGAACAUUGCUCUGAACCACCCCAUCAUGUUACCGCAGGGGGAAAUGAGGACCCCAGGGGUGAAGAGGCUGAACCCAAGGCCUUCCCUCUGGAACCUCAGAAUCCUGACAUCAAAUCCAGUGAGCUUUGGUUAAAUGCCCUGGUGAUUUUAAAUCCUGACAUUAAAUCCGAUGAGUUCUGGUGAGAGGUUCCAGUGCAAGAGAGAGAGAACAAAGAUAAUGGAAAACAGGAAGGAGGAAGAACCAUGGAGGAUGCCUCCAUUUACAGAGUGAAGGAAGAGAGAAUGCAGAGAGGAGACAGAGGAGCCACAGAGAGGAAGAAAUAAGCCACGGGGGAGAUGGGGGCUGACACUGCUGCUGUCCUCAGAGAGGCACAGCAGGGCCAACUGAGGAAAGACCUUCAGGGCCAGCCAUUAGGAGGUCAUCCAGAAGCACAGUAGCUAAAUGGCUUACAGAGUUCUGGAGUAAGGCUGCCCAAAAAGCAUUCGUGACCAUGUGAGUGCAGCUGGUGCUUCCACUGGCUUACCAGCUCUGUGACUUUGGACACAUACAUUUAUCUCUCCAUGCCUCAGUUUUCUCAUCUGUAAAAUGCGUAGAAUGUUAGCACUUGUCAUGAGUUUAAAUGAGUUAAUAAUACACACAAAGCCC